rnacentral:misc_RNA from 1 species
CGAGGAAGUCACUGAAAAGUGAAAUUCCCACCCUUUGUUAUUUGAAAAAACUACUUGCUUCGGCAAGCCCACCUUCUUGGUGCAUCGAUUACUUGAUUGAUGAGUUGCUUGCCGAAGGUUUAUAAACUCGUAAUAUUGUUGUCUGAGUAUCUUUAAAAGAAUAA